GUCUGUACAUUCCGGCAAAGCUCCCUGGUGUUUCUAUCUGGCGGUCUAAGCGGCGUAAGAGAAGUUCAUCCGUUGGUGGUCUAGUAUCUCUUGUUUCUAUUUUUUUUGGCGUAAGAGGAGUUCAUCUGGUGGUGGUUCAGGUGUGUGGGUAUCAAUUACUCAUUCUUACGGUGAAGCCAACAUGGUAGGAGAUGCAUUAACAUCAAUGGGAUGUUCUCUCAAUUCCCCUUCCCUUUAUUUUAUUUUCAAUUCCUUACCACUAUUUGUUCGUGAUCCUCUGUUGUUUGACUCGCGGGGUUUUUCUUCCCUGAUAUGUUUUUAUUCAAUAAAUUAAUUUUGUGAGAAAAAAAUUAUGAAACCGCGUCCAUUAAUUAAAAAAAAAAAGGUAUGUGCGUAUCAAUUCUGUGGUAUGUGCAACCCUAAUAUUUGUGUUGAAAUAAAGUGAUAAAUGUUUUGGAUGUAAAUACCAAAAAUGUGUAUGAUGAACACUUUGAAUAUGCAUGUCAUUUUUCUUGGUUAAGGUGGUUUCCUACAAUUAUGAUUUUAUAGAGUUGUUAAAUAUAUUCUGGAUAACACUAUUUAAGAAUUAUCAUAGAGUAUAGACAAAUCACUGCAACAUGGAAGCAUAAUAAUAUAGCUUUGACAAUUUUAAAAAGUUUCAUAUUUUAUACGAAUUAUUUUCUUUAUACCAUGAAAAUAUGGUUUUUGGGUUUGCGUAUGAAUGGCAGAAUGGUGGGACUGUUGUUAUUUGUUGUAUGGGGGAAUUGUUGUUUUUUUUGGGUGAUGUAUUAAAAAUAUUUUUUUCGUGUUGGGGUGUGUGUCGGAAUGGUGGAGUGUGUAAAUGGAUAGUGGAAUAGAGGAAAUAAGUGUGAUGUGAAUCGUUUUUCAGUUUGUGCGAGACAGACUUAGCGUGUGUGCGUAGUCGAGCAUCAUAAUUUGGGUGUGUGCAUUUUAGUUUAGGAGUAUGUGCAUUUUGGGGUGGGGGGAUGAUGAUGGAUUUUGUUUGUGGUAUGGGUGUUGAGGUGGGUUUGUGCUAGGGGGAUGGUGUGUGCUGUUUAUUGAUUUGGUGUGGGCAUUCUAGUGUGGGUGUGUGCUGUUCGUUGUUAGUGUGUGCCAUUGGGGUGCGCAUUUCAGUCGGGGGUGUGUGCUGUGGGGUAUUUGUUGUGUUUUUUGUCCCCUUCUUUUAGGGUUUGUUGGUGCAAUGUAUGAAUGCAGGCAGAACUGAAGGGGCAAGUAGAUGAGGGGCUAUUUUCCUUCCCACCACAGUCGAAAUUGUCCCAAUGUAGAAUAUAGAGUUGUAAUUUAAUUUUUUUUUUCAAUUUAACCGUUAUUGUGAACAAAAUGUAUUUUUUUAACCUUUGAAUAAAAUAAUCGCCCUAGCAUUAUGAUUUUUAAAUCAUCAAGUGAAUUGAUAUUUCAGUUA